rnacentral:rRNA from 1 species
UACGAAGGGGGCUAGCGUUGCUCGGAAUCACUGGGCGUAAAGCGCACGUAGGCGGCUUUUUAAGUCAGGGGUGAAAUCCUGGAGCUCAACUCCAGAACUGCCUUUGAUACUGAGAAGCUUGAGUCCGGGAGAGUGAGUGGAACUGCGAGUGUAGAGGUGAAAUUCGUAGAUAUUCGCAAGAACACCAGUGGCGAAGGCGGCUCACUGGCCCGGUACUGACGCUGAGGUGCGAAAGCGUGGGGAG